CAAGCUGGUUCGGCGGCCGAAAGUACCUUCGGCUGCCGAACCUGGUUUCUGCCAAAGGGCAGAAACUUGGUUCUUCAUGCCCAAAACAACCCCCUACACAACCAAUCAUGCAUAAACCUAUUCUACAACAAACAUACUCAAGCAUACAAGCUCCUAGGGGUCUCCAACAAGUUUAAACCCCAACUACAACACACAAGCAAGCCACAUUGCACUUAAACACACAUUAAAACCAUGGAUUUUUCAUAAAAACCCAUCAAGCCUACUCAUGUAUUUCUACCCCAAAAAUUUGCAUAAAACUUACUUAAAACACAUAUAGAACUAGAGAUCAGCUCUUACCUCUUGAAGAUCGAGAGAGAAACGAUCCUAGCUCGAAGAUGGGGAGAUUCGAGUUCUUGAACCUCAAAGCUCCAAAACUUGCUUAAACUUUAAAACUCUUCAAAAACAAGAUGUAACUUGUUA
rnacentral:lncRNA from 1 species